GUGAUCGUAGCUCAAUGGUUAGAGCACUAGGUUGUGGACCUAGCGGUUGCCGGUUCGAGUCCGGUCGGUCACCCCA
rnacentral:tRNA from 2 species